UGGGGAAUAUUGGACAAUGGGCGAAAGCCUGAUCCAGCCAUGCCGCGUGUGUGAAGAAGGUCUUCGGAUUGUAAAGCACUUUAAGUUGGGAGGAAGGGCAGUAAGCGAAUACCUUGCUGUUUUGACGUUACCGACAGAAUAAGCACCGGCUAACUCUGUGCCAGCAGCCGCGGUAAUACAGAGGGUGCAAGCGUUAAUCGGAAUUACUGGGCGUAAAGCGCGCGUAGGUGGUUCGUUAAGUUGAAUGUGAAAGCCCCGGGCUCAACCUGGGAACUACAUCCAAAACUGGCGAGCUAGAGUAGGGCAGAGGGUGGUGGAAUUUCCUGUGUAGCGGUGAAAUGCGUAGAUAUAGGAAGGAACACCAGUGGCGAAGGCGACCACCUGGGCUCAUACUGACACUGAGGUGCGAAAGCGUGGGGAGCAAACAGG
rnacentral:rRNA from 1 species